rnacentral:lncRNA from 1 species
CUUUUUAAAGCCUUUUAGGUUUUUGAACCAUGUGACUAUUAUAAUCUAUGCCCAAAAGAAGUUAAAUGAAAGCAGUGCGGGUCGCUGUGAGGAGGAUGGCCCGCGGGCCGGGCAGGAGUACAAGCAGGAGGUGAGGAAGCUGGUGUCCCUGCCUGGGCGGGAGAUGGUAGUGACUCAGGGAGAGGGUUGUGGGAGAGGAAGCAUGAGUCAGGGAUGAAAAGUGAUGCCUUUUACCAAGAUGGGGAGGAGGAGCCUUGCUAGGAAAGGCUUUGAACUUCUUAACUUGGAGAUGCACAUUGGACAUCAAGUAGACGGUGACAGAAUCCAUGGAACUGUAGGACAUCCUGCUGGUGUUGGAGAAUUGCUUGGUGUCGGGGAAGGCGUCACAAGUCAGACUGGGUGCAGAACAGUCAGCAACCAGGGUUUCUUGGUACUUUGCUGCAAGCCUGUUUGCUGUAGACAUCUUUGCCACAAGUGUUUUCGCUGCAUAACCACUUGGCCCUAUGGCAAUUUUGCCGUAAAAGAUAAAAAUCACGAAAAAUAAAAGAGGGCCAUUCAUUCCAAAGGAUGCAACAAAACGUGAAAAAGAUGAAUAGCAAAAUUAAAAGGACUUUAUUGUGAAAUACAAAAGAUUUGAAUAGGUUUAAAAUAUGUGUCUGGAGAUUCACGGCAGUCCUGCCCAAAGAACCAGUUUUAUUUUGUGUGUGUGGAUUGCACCUCACUAAGCACCUUCCUUUGUUCCGUGGGACAUGUGGGUUCAACUCUGCCCCCUCGAAGAAGAGGCCUCGGCCCUCUUCUCCUCCUCCAAUAUAGUGUGAUUCAAAAUAAGAAACAACUCUUGGGGCAAAUCAUCGACACGGUCAGCUCGAUGAAGCCAUCAGUAAGACACUGACUGGAAGAAAUGCCAAGUAUUUUAGACCGCUACCGUCACCACCAUGUCUGCAGGUCACCGUGGAGACCACUCUGAGGGCUAGCCAAGAUUUAUAGCAUAUAAAAAUGGGAGGAACUGUGAGAACUUCGUCAAUGGAGAAGUGAAACCAAACUGGAAAAAAAAGACAAAACUGUCAACCAGUUAUGUUCUUUUCUUUUAUGGCGGUUGAUUCGUCAAUGGAGAAAUAAAAGGAAAAAAAAAAAAACCCAAACCGUCAAGCAGUUAUUUCUUUCUGUUUUAUGGCAAAAUUGCCUUACAGCCCAUUAGUUAAGCUACGAGAAUGGUUCCGGGGAAGACAUGGCAGCCCAGACAGGGAGGGGAACUGGGGUGGGGCUGGAGCCUGAAGGGCCCACAGGUGAGGCUGUGGCUCGAUGAACUCAAUGGAGCAGUAUUCUGCAGUGAAAAAGAGUGGGCAGCCGGGUGGACCUCACAGCCACUGCAGGGACCCUUCAAGGUUCAAAGUCAGGAGAACAGAAUCAAGAUAGAGGUCAGGAUGGGGCUGGCCCCGUGGCCGAGUGGUUAAGUCUAUGCGCUCCGCUGCAGGCGGCCCAGUGUUUCGUUGGUUCGAAUCCUGGGCACAGACAUGGCACUGCUCAUCAGACCACGCUGAGGCAGCGUCCCACAUGCUACAACUAGAAGGACCCACAACAAAGAAUAUAAAACUAUGUACCGGGGGCUUUGGG